rnacentral:rRNA from 1 species
AACGAACGCUGGCGGCAGGCUUAACACAUGCAAGUCGAACGCCCCGCAAGGGGAGUGGCAGACGGGUGAGUAACACGUGGGAACGUGCCCUUCGCUUCGGGAUAGCCUCGGGAAACUGGGAGUAAUACCGAAUACGCCGUAUUGGGAAAGAUAUAUCGGCGAAGGAUCGGCCCGCGGUUGAUUAGCUAGUUGGCGGGGUAAAGGCCCACCAAGGCGAUGAUCAAUAGGGGACCUGAGAGGGUGAUCCCCCACACUGGCACUGAGAUACGGGCCAGACUCCUACGGGAGGCAGCAGUAGGGAAUAUUGGACAAUGGGUGUAAGCCUGAUCCAGCCAUGCCGCGUGCAGGAAGAAGGCCUUCUGGGUUGUAAACUGCUUUUGCCGGGGGAUAAAAGAUCCAUGCGUGGAGAAUUGAAGGUACCCGGUGAAUAAGCCACGGCUAACUACGUGCCAGCAGCCGCGGUAAU